AACCCCCCUCCCUUUGACCCUGUUGUGAUACUUGGGCCUACAGACUGACCCUGCUUCUGAGCUCCUCUGUGCAGCGUCAGUGAAAGUUCCCCAAAACUCACAGCAACCGAUGACAAUAACUGCUGAGGGGAAAGGUGGUGCAAAGAGCAGUGAGACUGACUGAAACAGUGCAGAGAAAAAGGCCUCCGGAUAUAACUCAAAGACUGGGUUAAGACCAUGCCUGGUGAACAAGAAAAAUCUGAGACUGGAAAUCAAUGAACCGAAAUUGGUGUGUUAGAAAUUGGGCCUAAUUGCUGGAGAAGAUAAUGAGUGGAUGGGUGAUUUCCCCCCCGCAUCACUCCAUAUUGGGGUUCUUACCAGAAAAUCCCCUGGCAAGAGAGUCAGGCUGUCUGAGACCCACUGUGGUCGGGAGGAAGGGAACUGAACAGAGUGAGCUCCAUCAUCAUGACUGCCAUUGUCCCCUGGGAUCCACUAUGACACCAUUGGUCCUUUGACACCCUGAGCUUGAAAGGCACCUGACCAGACCAAGUGAGACCAUGGGACCCAGAUGCCAUCACCACCUCCACUGGCUCUGGCUAAAUCUCAACACCACCUCGAAUGUGAGACUUUGCCCCCCACUUCAUGUGUCCUCUUCCUCCCCUCAUGUCUUCUCUUUCCUAUUGCUCAGCUUUUGCCGUCUGUCUAUUAGGAGUCUGGCAGAGUCGGCCAAGACUGCAUAUUUAGCAACACUACUGUGAGCCUGUGACUGGAGGAAGCAGCUAAAAGCAACGCACCAAACAGCCGACACAGUUACGAGUUUUCAGGUUUCAGUGUGGCUGAUAACACUGUGGGCUGGGCUGGGUUUCUCCAGCAGUGACAUUAUGAGUGAGAGUCAGCAGCUGAUUUUCUCUUUCCUGUUUUUUCUCUCUCCUCUUUUGUGUGUGUUUGUCUUGUUUUGUGUGGUAGGAAACCAGAUGGGACUUUAUCAACAGCAGAAACAACAGCAGCUCCAACUAAUUCUUCUCUUGUCCACAAAAAGAACACUUAUUACCAUCUUUAAUACCAUCUAAGAGACUGUCAAACAGUACACUGCAAGAGAAGGGACAAAGGAAGCAGCCCUGACACAGAAGAAGAGUCCCUGGCUUAAACCAUUUGGAAAGUAAGACUGUUGAAAGCAUGUGUUGUGCCCUGUGGGUGCUCCACUCUAGGUGACACCCGAGCAGUAUCCACAGUAGGAGGAGGGGGCUUUGGAAUGGAAUCCAGCACAGAGAACUGCAUUGCCGACUGAAGCACUGGAUUUUGAGGCAUCAACCUAGGCAGUGUCUAGAGAAAGAAUGUACCAAACACCAUGCAGUGGCCUUGCAGAUUAUUGAAAUGGGAACAUUUUUAAGGAGAGCCAUAGAUGUAGAUUGUGAUCAGGCUGAGUGUGCUGAAAUGCUGAUGGGGGUGAAAUGUCAACAGCUUGAUACAAUCAGACAUCAAUUUGCAGAAUUGUUGGGUAGAAAUGACAGAACCCUUAGAUCUGUCUGCAAUCAAAAGGAAUAAUCUAUUGGAUUUGUGAAAUCGUUUAGUUUUGUCUGGGUAGAAGGCUGAUGCUUUCCUGACAUCUAGAGUAUGGAGAAAAGUCUCCUGGUUGGAAGUAUGCAGUUUCAGAAAGAAAACUGGGCGGUCUAUGGUCUGAUUCAGGUGAAAUUUGGAAGUAACUUUAGGGAGAAAGUUGGGAUGUGGCUGGAAAGUCCCAAGCCUUAUUGGUGGACUAGAUGCCCCAAGCCUUUCAUAAAUCUCAUGGUUGUGGGAUGAGCAAAGAGGGGAAAAAACCUUCAGUAGAAGUAUGAAAGGUUAUCGGGGGGCCAAGUAAACUUUGAUAGAAUUGAGGGACAGGCCCGACUUCUUAAGUUGUAGCAGGUACUCCAGAAGGAGAGGAAGUGGGGCAGAUUCAGGAGAAGCAUUGUGGAGUUUGCACCAGUGGCCGAAUCUUGUUCACUUCUGAAGGAGUGCAGAUGUCCAACGAACAUAAUGUGGCCCUGGAAUCUUUAAGGGUAUGCAACGACUUAUCAGUGUUCUCUGCAAAUAAUUGCCAUCUGUCAAAAGGAAGAUCCUCAACCAAAUUCUGAACUUCCCCGGGGAAACCAGACAUUGCAGCCAGGAAGCCUGGCGCAUCACCACCACCAUAGAGAUGGAACUGGCCACAGUGUCUGUGCCAUCAGCCACUGCCUGCAAGGAUCUUUUUGCCAAAAACUGACCCUCAGCAUCAAUGGCAUGGAAUUGUUCUCUUUGAUCUGGGGGAAGGCACUCAAUAAAUGCCCCAAACCUUGUGGAGUUGGUGAAGUUGCAUUUGGAAAUCAACGCUUGGUAAUUUGCAAUGCAGAAUUGCAGUGUAGCAAAGGAGUUGUCCUUCCUUCCGAGGAGGUCCAGACACUUUUGGUCUCUGUUGUAUGGGGUGGAUUUGUAAUGGUAUUGUUUUCCCUACUCAUUCAUCACAUCAAUGAACAAAGAGUUGAGGGGCGGGUGGGAGAAGAAGAAUUCAGAGUCCUUGGAGGGGACAUAGUAUUUUUGUCAGCCCUUCUACAAGUGGGUGUCACCAUACCCGGAAUUUGUCAGACGGUUCUAGCAGGUUCCAGUAGAGCCUUGUUAAUGGGGAGGUUGAUUCUAGAUGUCAUCACAGAGUACAGAAUAUCCAGCAGCUUGUAUUGGGGUUCCCUGACUUCACUAAAUGAUACCUGCAAAGAGUCUGCCACCUGCUUAAUGAGGGCCUGGAACUGGCAAAAAUCAUCAGCUAUAGAUGGAAGCAGGGAGGCAUCAGGGAUUCAUUUGGUGAGGAGGAUGAAAUGGUGGUCUGAGGUUUGGGUUAUUUAUCCACCCUGGUCUCCUGCUCCUCAGAAGUUUCCUUCUGCUGCUGGGGAGGGGAAGCUUGGGUCUCCCUGUCAUCCUGGGUGCGUACUGCCCCCCCCCCCCACACACACAC